UAUGCACCAGUGGGGUCCCUCGGCCUGGCCUGCACCCUCUCGAAAUCCAGGACCCUUUGGGGGAUGUCGGAGAGCCAGUUUCAGCCUGAUCCUGCAGGCCAGGCCGAGGGACCCCACUAGUGCAUG
rnacentral:pre_miRNA from 1 species